AAAAAGACAAACCAUAGAUUUUCGUGUCUAACGUUUGACUGUCCGUCUUAUAUAAAUUUUUUUUAUAAUUAAUAUUUUUAUUAUUGUUAUGAUUAAUACUUUAUACCUGACUUGUCUUUUUUUUUUCAUAAUUUUUUUAAAUAAAAUGGACGGUCAAACGUUGGACAUGUAAAUCCAGGGUUUGCCUUUUU
rfam:Oryza nivara chromosome 11, whole genome shotgun sequence.